rnacentral:lncRNA from 1 species
UUGUUUUUCAUCAAAUUUUUAAGUAUAUUUUAGAUUGAAAAAGUAUGUGCGCACCCAAGAAGUGAGAUUUUGUCAAUAGUUAUAAUAAAGCUUCUGUUAAAUUAUUUUGUUGUUUCUUGGCUGCGCACGAUAUUUCCACAACAGAAAUUAAAGAUAGAAAACUGCAUAAAUUCUGUAUUUUUCAUCAUUUUUGUGAAAACAGUACAUAUUAUGAAGUAAUUGUGACGUCAUCACAUAUAAAUCUUAAUGUUUUUCAUUGAUAUUUCUUGACCCUAUGCAUUUCUAAACAUUAUGUGCCAAUUUGAGAAAGUUAUCAAACAUUUUAUUUUCUUGGGCCAAAACCAGGCCUUAAUGCCCCUUCGCCUUUGUAUGAGACAAAAUGUUGGUGAAGAUCUUUUAUUUUUAAAUUAAGGUCAAGUAACAGUAAAUGAACGCCGUCUAGCGGAUUCCGCGAAAUAUUGCGACGUUUUGUACGAAUUACGUCCCUUUGACCAGAUUUUGCAAUGUUAAAAUUGCACCCGGCGACUUUUCGAUGGGACAACGUCAACGGUAAAUUUGACGGAAAGUAUGUUACUUCUAGGAGAAUGAACUUGUUUUUCUAAAAUUAAAAAUUGAAAAUGAAUAUGAAAACAGUCCUGAAGACGAUCUUCAAAAUGAAAAUCAGGACAUAGGGUGGUAGAGUUUGUAUAUCUGCCGACC